rnacentral:rRNA from 1 species
UGAGAAUAAUAAAGGGCUAUAGUACUCUGASUAUACUAAGGUAGCRUAGUAGUUUGCUUUUUAAUUUAAGGCUUGUAUAAACGGUUGAAUGGCAAGGCAACUGUUCUUAAAAUAAAACGAAAUUAGGCUCUAAGUUAAAACUCUUAGUCAAAACUCAGGGACGAUAAGACCCCGUAAAAUUUAACUAUCUAAAACAACCAAGGUAGGUAAAAAAAAUAAGAGUUUAGCUGGGACGGCGGAUUUAAAGAAGAACGAAUCUAAAUUAAUAUAAACGAAGAAGCGGACAGCAGGACCCUUUAACGGAGGGCAGGAGUAAAUUACUUUAGGGRUAACAGCGU